GGACCGUAAUCGGGGCGGCUUAAACAUCAGAUUACUUUAUUUUAUUUUAUUUAUUUUAUUUUUAUUGUGUUUAUUUCCCCCAGUUCCGGGUUCUCUUCGGGGUCACCGAUGGCCCCUCCUUGCCGUGUGCUCGCGGCAGAGACAGGGGAGGCAGCUCUAUGAGUCUUGUUAGGACCUGACCCCAUCUCAGGACCUCCGCCCUCCUGACCUCUUCCAACCCCGCUGACCUCCCACAGGUCCUAAGGCCGUCACGCGGGGGUCAUGUGCCCUGGUCUCCUGGACGGAUGGGGGUCUCGCCCCCAUUGGCCUGGCCGGGAGCGGCCGUGCUUCUGUGUGGGCUCGAUCGUACCCCGUGGGGCGGCUUUUCUAGCUGAGCCCGGGGACGUUCCUGCCCUCUGAGCUGCACGGACCCAGGGGACUCGCGCAUGUGCUGUAUGGGGUGGGGCGUCCUACGCAGCUGCAGGGUGUCUGCCCAUGUCGGAGACAGGCGUCCCUAACCCCAUGUGUGUGCGCGCGGGUUCCCACACCCUCUCUGUUCUGUGUUUGAACUGCAGACAAUCCACAGACCCCCCUCCCCGUGCUCCUGACUGAGGCCCGUCCUGUCCUAGGGAGCCCCCGGUGCCGGUGUGGACUCCACGUGUGUCCCUGUGUGGGGACGUCGGGACUCGUGCUGCCCAGCAGUGACUUGAGGGCAUCUCUCUCCCCCCGUGUCUCAGGGCGGACGUUUCCAGAAGGAGAUUGUACAGAAUCCUCAUGGGAGACAGUUUACCCCGAUACGUGGGCUCCACGGCUGUGACGUGUGGAAUCCACAGCCGUGAGGCGUGGCCUGUGUUCUCCUCUGCAUCUCGGUGCCGCCUUGUUCCGUCUCCCAGACCCAUCUGUCUGGCUUUCAUGUCACGAGGGGUCACCUAGAGGUGUCAGGAGAUGCCCCUCGUGUUGAGAAAGGCGCCAUGUUGGCUUAGGCGCCCGAGUGGUCCCAGAACCUCAUCGUCUUAGAGGAGACGCCGCCGUCCCUUCCUCACCGUCCUCCUGGCUUGGUCGCCUGGCCGGGGCGCACAGUGUGUCUACGUUCUCUGGGAGCACUAAGCGUGGCGUCCCGGGUCGGCACCUCCAUCCUGCGGGAUCCUGUGGUGCCUACGGGGCGAGGUGACCGGGCCUUUCCCAGGACACUUGUCGGCCUCGGCCUUACAGUUCUGCGAGAACAGGCGGUUGUCCCGUCCCGUUUCCGGAGGGUCAUGCAGAUUCUUUUGUCUACACUGAGGUCUCCCUUUACAUUUAAUUUUUUCCUGCACUUUGUCCCUCAGGGGGAAGAGCUUCUUGUCUCUCCUUGUAGACGUCGUCUGCACAUAAAACGUCCAGACCAACCGAAAGUCUCCCACGUCCAGCGCUGGUGGACACGCCAGGCUCCCUGCGGCCUGUUCCGUGCGUGCUUUCCUCGCUUGGGGAAUCGUGAGCAUCUUCCCUCGUCAGCAGCGUGCGGUUGGGUUCGUCGUCUCGGAGGCCAUUGGAGCUCUUGCUGAGCAGAUGGAACACAGGUGGUGUCGGUGUCCCCCCACAGGGGUCGUGGGGCAGCGUGCGGGUCCCCACAUCUCCACCGUCUGUUAUCUGCGUCCUGCGGGUCAGCGGUCUGUGCCCCCCUGAGAAUCUGCUCGGCCUCAGGUCGGCUGUCCGGAGGAGCCUGGCACCUCUGCUUCUGCCUGGGCUGGCGUGUGGCCUUCUCCUUGAGCAGAAGACUGGUUUCCGGGAUCCUGUCAUUUAUUCCUGCUUUUCAUGAUUGCGGAGGGCCAGGGGGCAGUUUUGGAGGCAGGCCGAGAUUCUUCUGGGUUCUUUUCUGGAUUUUCUUGAACCUGGGUCGCCUGCGGAGGGGAUGGGGAGGCUGCCCACGCGUCCUGGGUUCACAGCCUGAUCCAGAGGCCCCGGGGCUUCCCUGAAGUAGUCGGGGGUGUGGGCAAGGUCCCGGCCCUCCACAGGUGUGGCCCACCCUGGGCAGAGACGCGCGGUGUGCACGCCUGUGGUGGGGGGGCUGCUGCAGCACCGGUUUUCAGCCUCUGUGGGGUCCGUUGGGGGAGCAGCACCCCCACCCCCUUCGCCUGGAAGGGGCAUCAACGCGCAGACACGGAUGCCCAGACUCCGGGACACGGGGCGCCACCCCCUGCUCACUCCGGAACGCGGAGCACCGGCCACCUCCAGACCCGGGGCCCAGGGUGCCCCCCACCGAGGUCCCCCCGACCCUGGACCCCCAGGCUCCGACGGCCCCCUCCUCCUCCGCUGUUGCAGAAGCACGUACACGCACGGCCUGGGCCGCGACCCCGCCCGGGUCAUCUGCGGCCCCACCUCGCCCACCCCCCUUCGCGCUCAAGCUCGGCUUCCAAGGUGCCCGAGACGCCGCGCCCAGGAUCACAGGCACCGGCUGGCCUCCGCCCUCUCCGAGGCUUCCCUGGAGGAGCUGGAGCCGCCGGGCCACCAGCGCUGCCGCAACCUCGGCUCCCUGCUCGUGCUCGCUGAGUUCCGCAGGAUCCCGCCGGCUGAGCGUGGGGCCGCGUGAACCUACACCGGCCCAGGGUCCCGGAGCCCAAUCUGACCCUGCCGGUGACCUCUCUGCCUGGUCCUCCCUGGGCUGCCACCGCCCCCACUUCCUGUCACUUUCUCACUCGCCCACUUCCAGGACUCCAUCUCCGAGGACAUGCCAGCCUUCUGGGAAGGGAACGUGAACCCCUGCUCAUCUACCUUAGGGCCCUCAUGAGGACGAACGACGUGGCCCUAGGGGAGGAGGAACCCGCUGCCAAUCCGUUUGACGCCAGAUGCAAAGACAGCAAGCAUCCUCGAGAGCUGCCUGUGGGAAGGUGCUACCCCUGGACACCAGACACCCUGGCCAGCUGCACUGCAGCCGACAGAGACCCAAGGAACCCGUCCAGGGGCUGCAAGGCCAAGAGGGACACCUCUGAUGUCAACGUCCUGUCCUUCGAGGACUCCGAGAACUCUUCCGAUGAAGACAUCGACGUGCGUGUCUCUACCCAGGGGGGGGUGUCUGACUGCAGACGACUCACACCCCGGGUGGGACUCAGGCUGAGUUCCUCUUUCGUGGCCACGUUCUGCGUCCACGGCUGGCGGUCCUGGGCCGCAGCCUCUGAGUGCGGGUGACCUGGGUCCUCGGGGCCUCCGGACUGUGAGGUGCAUGACAGUGACCCUGCCAUCUGCUCCUGUGGAGCCAGCACCCCGUGCAUGGGGCAGGGCCACAGGACCGUCGACCCUCGGGGUGCCCACCUGCCCAGAUGCCUGCCUGCCUGCGGCUUCCUCGCGGGGCUCUGGCUGCCCGCUGCCCUCGGCUCAGCUGGGAGGAAGGUUCCGGAACCACUCUGCUCCUCUCUGCAGAGUGUGGUGCCACCUCCCUCACCCCGCAUGGUCCUGCUCCGUGUGGGCCACCGGCUCCUCCUCUCACGGCCCAGGGCCCUGUUGCCGAGCGUUGUGUCGUGUCCAGCGCCGUGGGCCCAGCUGGGGGGCAGGAGGGACUCACCCGCGGCCUGGACACUUUAGACGGGCUGCGCCUGACUGGGGUGGUGGUGGGAGGGGCCGAGGCUGCAGCCCAGGGGAGGAGGCCCGUGGGGUUGUCCCUGGAGGUCCACUCGUUGGCAGCCCUGCCCACGGACACCUGGGGUGGGGCCGCUCGCGCCCUCUGGAUCUCAUGUUGGUGCCAAACCACGGCCAGCGCCCACCUGAACGCCAGAGGGGACGACCCCUUGAGGCCAACCUGAGAGCAGAUGGGGAGACCGGACGUUGGGGUGGGACGGCGGGGGUGUGUGGGGGGGUGUCUCCCUUUUUCUGUCUGCAGGGGCGGAUUCCCCUCUCUGUUGUGCGCAGACGAGAACGGACCCAUGAGAACCGGUCUGCACGUCCCUGCGUGGCCGUGGCUGGGGGCUCGAGGUCGCGGCUCCGGAACAGCCCUGCCCCCCACACGAGGCUGAGUUCCACGGGGUCUCUCUGCACACAGUGGGCCGGGUUGCGGCCUCGGGCGGAGUGUCUAUGCUGUGGGGUCGUGUCCUUUCCCAGGACUCUGGGGGCCGACUAGGGAGGAACCACCCCUGGGGUGGGGUCGGGGUCACCAGGAGGUCAGAGGAGGGUCAGGC